GAUUUCUGGCUUGAAACAUUUUGCCGGCCACGGUUUCGUGUGUUAGUGCUUGAUGUUCUGGCCAUCCUUCCAAUCGCUAUUUGUUUCUCUUCAUUGAUUAGCAAAUGGUAUUGGAUCUUUUACUUUGAAAAAAUUAGAGUGUUUCAAGCAGGCUAUUGCUAUGAAUACAUUAGCAUGGAAUAAUAAUUUAGGACUUCGGUUCUAUUUUGUUGGUUUCUAGGACUGAAGUAAUGAUUGAUAGGGAUAGUUGGGGGUGCUAGUAUUCAGCGGCCAGAGGUGAAAUUCUUGGAUUCGCUGAAGACUAACUUAUGCGAAAGCAUU
rnacentral:rRNA from 1 species